UGUCACAGCAUACACCCGGAAAAGCCAUACCCGCAGGCAGCAGCGCGCACCCAGGCGCCUGCCGAGGCAGUGAUCCUACCCAACACGGUACCGUGUCCAGCAAUCAGCUCCCUCGCACCUUUAGGUCUCAGCAGUAGAGCAGCCGAACCCGGGCAGUAACGUCCCAACGAGAACCUAGAGCUCCCUUGCUCCCGCCGCAGCUCCUACCGGCCGCCGCACCGUCCUACCUCCUCUUGCCGAAUCUCAAGCACGAGCUAGACCACCAGUCCUAGGGUUAAGCCCUUCUCAAGCGGCUAUUGGAACUCGUGGGCCUAGGCCACGGCGACUCCGACGACGGGUCCCCCCUCCGACCGCGAGAACCGGGCAUACUAAGUUUACCACUUAGACCAACGCGGGACUCCGCGCCGCCUUUUCUCGGCGCAGCGGUUGUUUCAAUCGAGUUAGAUAGCCUUUCCAAUUAGCCCUCCGUGGACCUAUUACCUGCUUUUCCACUCGGCAGUACAGGGGCACCAGACUAACAUAUAACUUAAACUCGCGUAAAUAGCUGUCUAUCAAUUCAAGUUCCCUCGUCCAUAAACCAAAACCGCACAAAGUCCAUCAAUCUACAGCAUUCCACAAAUCUUAAAGUCUAUUCUCUUUGCAACGGAACUUGGUCCGACGUAUAGUCCUGACAGCUAAUUUACAAAACUCUUUGGUCAAGUAUUAAAGGUCCCUUUUACGAUGACAGACGUCGUGUGGUCAAAACACAAUUAACUGACCUGCUUCGUAAUAACUACAUCCAAUUCUGAUCCCUCACGUGGCGGCCUGUCUUUAAGCACGCGAAGUACCUACUCGCGUGACCUCGUUAGCUAUGCCUUCAAACGACUCCUUGGCUGCUCCUCACACUAAUUUGGUCUUAAUCCUUGUGCAAGGCUAAGCAACUUGCUCCGUAUGCUGAAGAUGUCAGAAAUAAGUGCCCUUCAAUCUAAGUCAUUUUUUAGGCUGACUUGCGUCUUUCUUGGUUCAGCUACGUCCUCUCACACACGCCAACAAGCGAUCCAAGACACCAUGCUCUAUGUUACAGCCAAAGAAAAAACACGUUAAAACCAAACUUUUUUGUCGUAGUACCUCACUCGACUACACGGUAGUGAAAAAAACUAAAAAAAAGGACCCUUUCGGACUCCGUCUCUUAUCGACUAGUACGUCCACGCUCACGGCUUUCAAAACUUACUCAAAAACGACUCAGGACUCUUACAACCCACCUAGUGGCGGAUGCUGUUAAAACUGAUCAUACAUACCCGAUCGUAUCUUGAGAAUGAACGACCAUCGAGGGUCUUCGGCUCAAUAACAAACAACAAUAAUGUCUAGUUUUGUCUCGUCGGCCUAAAACUUGGGAAUGAACGGUUAGUCGGCCUAAAAAGCAUAUCCAAAAAACACUUUUUGACAAAAUGGACUUCUUAUAAAGUUAAUCAAUCGACUUGAUCCCAUUUAACAAGCAUUUAGUCAUGGACGUAUCUAUAACGUAAUCAUCCCUCUUGAUGACAUGACUUAAUCGUGCAAACGUUUAAAAGUGCGAUACGGAGCCGUCACGUGGUGGUCUGUCCCGUGGUACACGAAGAUCCUACGAAUUUGACAAAAAACCAACUAGUAACGUUUUUAAUUUACAACAAUAGGACGUUCUUUACCAAGUUCGUGAAGGUAGGUGACGACCGCCACCGUAGGCCUGUCCUGAACUACCUACUCGAGUGAGGACCCCCACUCAAUUGUGACUUAAACACACGUAAGUUGCCUACGGGUCACUCUUUCUCUUCUUUUACAUGGCGCCUACCGAACUGUCUACCUCUCUCUAAAAAAUAGGACAAAAACACCUACUCGAAACAUUCCUUCUGCUGCUUUAUCUGACCCUAAUUUGGUAAGUACAAGGGACACUACAAGUACCUAACGACCAGGAACAUGUAAGAGCUGUGACUCUUCUUCUAACAUUACCACGAACUAGGUUGUCUCUGUCUAGGUAGUCUACUCUACUUCUCCUUCGUACUCCGCGACCGUUCCUUCAAGGUCGCAUCCAAAAUGUUGGAAAAAUUACUGUUCAAACCUCGUCCGAACCAGCUCUGCUGACCUACCAGUAAACACAUGGGCAACCAACGCGUUGUGCUCGGUACGUGGUCCCUUCUGCCACACCACAUACAGGACGUGAUGUAUGACCUCAAGUGACCGGAAAUGGACUCUAGCUUAUACUUGGUCCUCGUCUAGCUCGUGGAGGCGUUCUUCUAACGUACACUGUAUCACUGCUACUUCCUCUUAUUCCCUACGUAGGGUCUCAAGGACAUGCUCCUCUAGGAGCUGAUUUCACUACUUCAUAAGCAAGUGAGAUGCACGUCGGGCCGUUCUAGAAAACCAACUUAACAGGGCUAAAUCAACAACCCCGUAAAACGUCGUGUUUGUGGACGGUGGAACAUCUACUUUUUGAUACCUGUACAUGACGUAAAAAUCUACCUAAGAAUUCGUCAAAUUCAUUUACAUUCGCGACUAUACUAUACACCUACAUACAAGUAUAGAGUCUUACACGUUACGAUAACCAUGAUCACCAAUAAACUAGGGCACUAAAUG
rnacentral:rRNA from 1 species